CACGUAGGGCGCAAGCGUUGUCCGGAAUUAUUGGGCGUAAAGAGCUCGUAGGCGGUUUGCUGCGUCCGCUGUGAAAACCCAGGGCUCAACCCUGGGCUUGCAGUGGAUACGGGCAGACUAGAGGUAGGUAGGGGAGAAUGGAAUUCCCGGUGUAGCGGUGAAAUGCGCAGAUAUCGGGAGGAACACCGGUGGCGAAGGCGGUUCUCUGGGCCUUACCUGACGCUGAGGAGCGAAAGCGUGGGGAGCGAACAGG
rnacentral:rRNA from 1 species